CCUACGGGAGACAGCAGUGGGGAAUAUUGCACAAUGGGGGAAACCCUGAUGCAGCGACGCAGCGUGAGGGAAGAAGGAUUUCGGUAUGUAAAGCUCUAUCAGCAAGGAAGAUAAUGACGGUACUUGACUAAGAAGCUCCGGCUAAAUACGUGCCAGCAGCCGCGGUAAUACGUAGGGAGCAAGCGUUAUCCGGAUUUACUGGGUGUAACGGGGGCGUAGGCGGGAUUGCAAGUCUGAUGUGAAAACCCGGGGCUCAACCCGUGAACUGCGUUGGAAACUGUGGUGCUGGAGUGAAGGAGAGGUAGGCGGAAUUCCUGGUGUAGCGGUGAAAUGCGUAGAGAUCGGGAGGAACACCAGUGGCGAAGGCGGUCUACUGGGCUGUAACUGACGUUGAGGCACGAAAGCAUGGGUAGCAAACAGGAUUAGAUACCCGGGUAGUC
rnacentral:rRNA from 1 species